CAGGGACCGUGUGUCCUGCCACUGACAGUCCAGGAGCGCUUGGAGGAGGCAUGUACAGCCAGCUGUGCCCAUGCGCCCCCCACCCCGCCCAGGAACUGGCUCCUGCGGACGCCCCCUCAGAUCACCGUCACGGCUCCUCGGACGCAGGUAUGGCAAGAAACAGGGCUGCAGAUUUUGUGGCCAGAAGUGUGAAUGAGGGACAACAAAAUGACAUCAGCCUCAGACGGGAUCAGGUGCCCCAGGAGCCAUCUGCAUUGUCACCAGCUGUUUCGGGGGCAGGAAGCAAGUUCCCGCAUAGAGCUGGGUUAUUCCGGGUCCUUCUGAAUCAGGUGCUGCGGGCAGUGCUGGGACAGGAAGGCCACACGAGCCGCUCCGCCGGCUCCACAUGGUGAUCCUGGCCGCUCACAAAGCCAUGCUCCAGGAAGGAGCCAGAACACGGGUCUGCAGCCUUGCGGCCACGGGCAGCUCCCGGAGCCCCCGUCCCCAGAGGAGGGCAGCAUCCUCACCAGGGUGGUUGAGAAUCAAGGAAGACGGAGCAGGCGCCCCCGGGCACCCCCCUCUCCGAGCCCAUCAGUCUGGAGACCAGCCUGUUGCAGAAGAC